rnacentral:rRNA from 1 species
UACGUAGGGCGCAAGCGUUGUCCGGAAUUAUUGGGCGUAAAGAGCUCGUAGGUGGCUUGUCACGUCUGCCGUGAAAGCCCAUGGCUUAACUGUGGGUCUGCGGUGGAUACGGGCUGGCUAGAGGUAGGUAGGGCAAGCGGAGUUCCUGGUGUAGCGGUGAAAUGCGCAGAUAUCAGGAGGAACACCGGUGGCGAAGGCGCCACUCUGGGCCGGAACUGACGCUGAGGAGCGAAAGCGUGGGUAGCAAACAGG